AUUGAACGCUGGCGGCAUGCCUAACACAUGCAAGUCGAACGAGUGGCGGACGGGUGAGUAAUGUCUGGUAAACUGCCUGAUGGAGGGGGAUAACUACUGGAAACGGUAGCUAAUACCGCCUACCAUCAGAUGUGCCCAGGUGGGAUUAGCUAGUGGGUGGGGUAACGGCUCACCAAGGCGACGAUCCCUCGCGGGUCCGAGAGGAUGACCGGCAAAACUGGACAGGAGACACGGUCCAGACUCCUAGGGAAGGCAGAAGUGGGGAAUAGUGCAAAAGGGGCGAAAGCCGGAUGCAGAAAGGCGGGGUGGAUGAAGAAGGCUUUGGGGUUGAAAAGUACUUUCAGCGGGGAGGCGUUACCCGAAGAAAAAGCAACGGCUAACUACGUGCCAGCAGCCGCGGUAAUUC
rnacentral:rRNA from 1 species